rnacentral:rRNA from 1 species
GACGAACGCUGGCGGCGUGCCUAAUACAUGCAAGUCGAGCGGACUUUUAAAAGCUUGCUUUUAAAAGUUAGCGGCGGACGGGUGAGUAACACGUGGGCAACCUGCCUGUAAGACUGGGAUAACUUCGGGAAACCGGAGCUAAUACCGGAUAAUGCUUCUCCUCUCAUGAGGAGAAACUGAAAGAUGGUUUACGCUAUCACUUACAGAUGGGCCCGCGGCGCAUUAGCUAGUUGGUGAGGUAACGGCUCACCAAGGCGACGAUGCGUAGCCGACCUGAGAGGGUGAUCGGCCACACUGGGACUGAGACACGGCCCAGACUCCUACGGGAGGCAGCAGUAGGGAAUCUUCCGCAAUGGACGAAAGUCUGACGGAGCAACGCCGCGUGAGUGAUGAAGGUUUUCGGAUCGUAAAACUCUGUUGUUAGGGAAGAACAAGUACCGGAGUAACUGCCGGUACCUUGACGGUACCUAACCAGAAAGCCACGGCUAACUACGUGCCAGCAGCCGCGGUAAUACGUAGGUGGCAAGCGUUGUCCGGAAUUAUUGGGCGUAAAGCGCGCGCAGGCGGUCUCUUAAGUCUGAUGUGAAAGCCCCCGGCUCAACCGGGGAGGGUCAUUGGAAACUGGGAGACUUGAGUGCAGAAGAGAAGAGUGGAAUUCCACGUGUAGCGGUGAAAUGCGUAGAGAUGUGGAGGAACACCAGUGGCGAAGGCGACUCCUUGGUCUGUAACUGACGCUGAGGCGCGAAAGCGUGGGGAGCAAACAGGAUUAGAUACCCUGGUAGUCCACGCCGUAAACGAUGAGUGCUAAGUGUUAGAGGGUUUCCGCCCUUUAGUGCUGCAGCAAACGCAUUAAGCACUCCGCCUGGGGAGUA